UAGGGUAGGUAGAUACAGGAAUCGGUGUCAGUCGCUUCCGAUACAAAUCGGCCGAUUUGCCUAUAAGGUCUCUCUCUCCUUCCUUGAUUAAUUCUUAUUCAUUUGAUGGAGAAAAGAUUGACGCUUCUUCAAACCGUUGCUGCAGCGGGAGUGUUCUCUGCUGUUUCGUUCUGGUACGGAUUCAUGUUCGGAAGGGAAUCCGCUCGGAAAGAGCUCGGCAAUCUGAUUGAAGACCUCCGUCGUGGACAUCCCGAAACUGACACGCCUCAAGUUUCUUGAAUGUCCCUACCAUUGGAGCAGGCACUUGCAGAAAACAGAAAUCGCAGUGCUUCUACCUUCAGGGGAUUCUUGGCGACAUUCUAUAACUUUCAGCUAUGUCUAGAGGCAUAAGAAUUAGUGAGGAGCUCUACCUGGGCAUCACUAGUUGCAUGUAUGAGGUGCCUCCUUUCUUGUUUUUUGGGGGAGUAUUGAUCCCUAGGAGCAGCUUAGCCUAAGAAGCAGGUGCUUGAUUGAAGAUUCAUGCAAACUGCUUGAGGUGGGCAUUGAACACGUGGGAGAUCUGAAAAGGCUUGUAUUAAGUUUUAUUUUGCUAUAAUAAUUUGGGAUCGGGAUAUGGUUCUUGAGCAAGCGGCAUAGAGGAGCACAUCCAUGUGGUGAGGCAAAAUUGUAAGGAUGUUGGAGGACAACAAAGGUCAUUUCAUGUGAAAAGGAAAUAGAUAGAUACAUAGGUGCUUAAUGUACUUUCUCUAGUGACUCAGAGAAUCUUUUUGCUUUAUCAAAUUUUUGCGGUUCAAUCGAACUCAGUUGCUCUCCAUAUAUUUGUAUUUUUCCUCCUGAAAUAUUGACCAUUCAGCACGUUUUCAAUGUU